rnacentral:rRNA from 1 species
GAACGUGCCUUUCGGUUCGGAAUAACCCAGGGAAACUUGGGCUAAUACCGGAUACGCCCUUCGGGGGAAAGAUUCAUUGCCGAAAGAUCGGCCCGCGUCGGAUUAGCUAGUUGGUGAGGUAACGGCUCACCAAGGCGACGAUCCGUAGCUGGUCUGAGAGGAUGACCAGCCACACUGGGACUGAGACACGGCCCAGACUCCUACGGGAGGCAGCAGUGGGGAAUAUUGCACAAUGGGCGAAAGCCUGAUGCAGCCAUGCCGCGUGGGUGAAGAAGGCCUUAGGGUUGUAAACCCCUUUCAGCGGGGAAGAUAAUGACGGUACCCGCAGAAGAAGUCCCGGCUAACUCCGUGCCAGCAGCCGCGGUAAUACGGAGGGGACUAGCGUUGUUCGGAAUUACUGGGCGUAAAGCGCACGUAGGCGGAUUUGUAAGUCAGGGGUGAAAUCCCGAGGCUCAACCUCGGAACUGCCUUUGAUACUGCGAAUCUCGAGUCCGGAAGAGGUGAGUGGAAUUCCUAGUGUAGAGGUGAAAUUCGUAGAUAUUAGGAAGAACACCAGUGGCGAAAGCGGCUCACUGGUCCGGUACUGACGCUGAGGUGCG